GUAUCAACACCACCUUUGGAACAAGCAUAGGCGACUCCACCGGGUAACAAACCUCGGUGGAGACCGGCGAUGGAGGAGACGUUUAUUACUGAGCCGCCGCCUUUUGCGUCACGCAUUAGACUGCAGACGUAUUUGGAUACUAACCAAGGUCCGGUUAAGUUGGUUCUGAACACUGUGUUCCACUCAUCUUCAGUCAGAUCUAAACUCGUCUUGACAUUGCCUCUGAUUCCAGCGUUGUUGAUCAACACAUCUAUCUUUCCGUAGAUGUCCCAAGCUUGUUUGACCGCUUUUUGAAUGGUAGCUGCGUCUGAUGAAACGUCUAGCUCGAGCGGUGCGGCUAAUUGGAUCCCGGUUGAGCUUAAGCUGUUGAUUUCGGAGCAGAGAGAUUCGAGACGGUGGACGCGACGAGCUGCUGCGAUAAUCUUACAGCCAGCUUUGCCCAGAUCGAGACAGACCUCACUUCCUAUACCAGAAGAAGCUCCGGUCAGAAAAACCACUUUGAAGAUGUAAGAUGUCUGCCCUGAAGUAGUCGUUGACGUAGUUGCGGAAGCAGACGUCGGGUUAAGUGGUGAAGACCAUGUGGAGUCAAGAUGCUGAGCUGGAGUCGUGUAGACUUGGAGAGCAAGGGAGUAUCUUGGAGAUAUGGAAAGAGGAAUAAACUUGAUGAGCAAGUUUAUGACUUAAAGAAAGAGGAAUAAGUGAAUUCCAAGAAAAGGAAAGUUGCACUUAUUGUUAUGGAAGAUGUCCAUACAUGUUGCCUUGGCGACUAGGGUUUUGGGAACAUGGAGAAUAACUAUAAGAUAGCUAUGGGGUCGUCUGUAUAGAGAUAGAGACACAGAGGCUGAUCUUAUAGAAAGAGAGAGAAGCUCUUGGAAGUGUUUGGUAGAAAUGGUUCUGGAAAAAGCAGCAUUAUUCCUUUAAUGGAACGGUUUUAUGAUCCGACAUUAGGUACUAUGACUUGUGAUUUAAGAUGCACCACUCACCUUUGCAUGGAGACAAUCAUGAGCUGACGACAUUUUGUGGUUUUCACUUAUGCAGGAGAAGUUCUUCUUGAUGGAGAAAAUAUUAAAAAUCUAAAACUGGAGUGGCUGAGAAGCCAAAUAGGCCUGGUUACACAGGAGCCUGCUCUGCUAAGCUUGAGCAUAAGAGAGAAUAUUGCAUAUGGUCGUGAUGCUACUCUUGAUAAGAUAGAGGAGGCAGCUAAAAUUGCGCAUGCACACACGUUUAUCAGCUCACUUGAAAAAGGAUAUGAAACUCAGGUAGAAAUUUUUUUCUUUUUUUAAAGUUUGUGAUGAAAUCCUGUUUUGUCAGUUGGUAACUUGGUAUUCAACUUUAAAGUGGGAAAUGCCUGGUUUGACUUCUAGGUAGGGAGAGCCGGUUUAGCAAUGACAGAGGAGCAGAAAAUAAAACUUUCAAUCGCUAGAGCUGUGCUUUUAAAUCCUACAAUUCUUCUGCUUGAUGAAGUAACUGGGGGACUAGAUUUCGAAGCUGAAAGAAUUGUUCAGGAAGCUCUUGAUCUUCUGAUGUUGGGGCGCUCAACCAUAAUAAUUGCCCGACAGCUAAGCUUGAUUAAAAAUGCUGACUAUAUUGCCGUGAUGGAGGAGGGUCAGCUAGUUGAAAUGGGUACACACGAUGAAUUGAUAAAUCUUGGUGGGUUGUAUGCUGAGCUUCUGAAGUGUGAAGAAGCAACAAAGCUACCGCGAAGGUAUGAUAGCUUAGAACAUAACCAGUUACUCGUGUGUUGAAAUUUCUAGUGGCAAAAUAUAUGUUUGGGAAUCUGUUUUCUGCUGUUAUGAUCUCUAGGGGGUGUAUUUUUGUUAAUUAUAUUUGUUUAAGGAACUUGUAUGUUCAUCCAGGAUGCCAGUUAGGAACUACAAGGAGUCUUCAGUAUUUCAGAUUGAGAGGGACUCUUCAGCUGGCUGUGGCGUCCAAGAGCCAUCAUCACCCAAAAUGAUCAAGUCUCCAUCUCUUCAAAGAGGUAAUGGCGUGUUCCGUCCCCAGGAUCUGUGUUUUUACACUGAAGAAUCACCUAAUGAUCAUAACCCUGCUGCACCUGAGAAAAUGGGGGAACAUGGCUUGCCUCUGGACGAUACUGAUAAAGAGCCAACAAUGAAAAGGCAAGAUAGUUUCGAGAUGAGGUUACCAGAGCUUCCUAAAAUCGACGUCCACGGUCCACAGCAUAAAUCAAACGACUCAGAUCCAGAGUCCCCUGUUUCACCCCUUUUGACUUCAGAUCCCAAAAACGAGCGUUCCCAUUCUCAGACGUUUAGCCGUCCUCUUAGUUCGUCUGAUGACACUAAAGCAAAUGGUAAGGAUGCUCAACACAAGGAGUCACCUUCGUUUUGGAGGUUGGCACAGCUUAGUUUCCCAGAGUGGCUCUAUGCUCUAUUAGGGAGUGUGGGUGCUGCCGUAUUUGGUUCCUUCAAUCCUCUUCUGGCUUAUGUCAUGGCGUUGGUAGUCACGGAAUAUUAUAAGAGCAAAGGAGGCCACCUGCGCGAGCAGGUUGACAAAUGGUGUUUGAUCCUUGCCGCCAUGGGGAUAGUGACAGUUUUUGCCAAUUUCUUGCAGCAUUUCUACUUUGGUAUAAUGGGGGAGAAAACGACUGAGAGAGUUCGGAGGAUGAUGUUCUCAGGUACUGGAUUUUUUUGAUCAUUAUAAUUAACUUCACCACAUUUUAACUACUUUCACUUGCCUCGCAUCAUUAAUUUCCCUGAUGUUACAGCAAUGCUGCGUAACGAAGUUGGAUGGUUCGAUCAUGAAGACAACAGUCCUGAUACGUUAUCCAUGCGUUUAGCAAAUGAUGCUACUUUUGUCCGAGCUGCCUUCAGCAACAGGCUUUCGAUAUUUAUUCAAGAUAGUUUUGCUGUUAUUGUUGCUCUUCUUAUUGGGUUGCUGCUUGGUUGGCGUUUGGCCCUUGUUGCAUUAGCAACUCUGCCAAUACUCUCUCUUUCUGCCAUUGCUCAGGUUUGCAUCGUUUCUUCUAGGAGAUUGCUUGACAUUUAAAUUCUUAUUUUAUAAUUUAGUAAACGUGCGGUCAUAAUCCCCUCUUUCACAUGUGUUUCUGAUUUUGUAAUAUUUUUUUCCAGUUCAAGUAGCGGUUUAGCAUGUGAUUCGUUGCUUUUUGCCAUUUCAUUCUCAUGCACAUAGCUCAGACAUGUUUGUUUAUUCAGCUGACAUUGCAUAUUAAUUACCUUAAAACGAAUUUGCAGAAACUGUGGCUUUCUGGAUUCUCAAAAGGCAUCCAGGAGAUGCAUAGAAAGGCAUCAUUAGUUCUCGAGGAUGCUGUACGAAAUAUCUACACUGUUGUUGCCUUCUGUGCUGGUAACAAGGUGAUGGAACUCUACAGGAUGCAACUCCAGAGGAUACUCAGACAAAGCUUUUUACACGGGAUGGCUAUCGGUUUUGCGUUUGGUUUCUCACAGUUCCUUCUCUUCGCCUGCAACGCCCUCCUCCUAUGGUGCACUGCGCUAUCUGUUAAACGCGGGUACAUGAAGUUACCCACAGCUAUAACGGAAUACAUGGUCUUCUCUUUCGCUACAUUUGCCCUUGUGGAGCCAUUUGGAUUAGCACCUUACAUCCUCAAGCGACGCAAGUCUCUCAUAUCAGUAUUUGAAAUCAUAGAUCGAGUCCCGACGAUUGAACCAGAUGACAACUCUGCUCUCAAGCCGCCUAAUGUCUACGGAAGCAUUGAACUGAAAAACAUCGACUUCUGCUACCCGUCUCGACCCGAAGUGUUGGUGUUGAGCAACUUCAGUCUCAAAGUCAGUGGGGGGCAAACUUUAGCUGUGGUUGGCGUCUCAGGUUCUGGUAAAAGCACAAUAAUCUCACUCGUGGAGAGAUACUACGACCCAGUUGCUGGUCAAGUCCUACUAGACGGGCGCGACUUAAAGCUAUAUAACUUGAGAUGGUUGAGAAGUCACAUGGGUCUGGUCCAGCAAGAGCCCAUAAUCUUUUCCACAACCAUCAGAGACAACAUCAUAUACGCAAGGCAUAAUGCGAGCGAAGCUGAGAUGAAGGAAGCAGCGAGGAUAGCAAAUAGGGCUUACCUCACGGUUACGACACACAUGUGGGGAUGAGAGGUGUGGAACUUACCCCAGGACAGAAUGCAACCACACUUCGGCAAAGGUCUACGCCAACAUCGACUAAUAUAGCAAAUAGGGCUUGUAGGUGUAGAUUUUCCACGGUGAUGAAGCUUCUUUCUCCAAGGUAUAUCGAUUGUGUAUGCUAGAUUGUUUUUGGAAGACAAUGUAUGUAAAGAAAAUGUGUAAAUGUAUUCACUUAUUAGUAUUACACACCAACACACAAGUUUCUUCUCAAAGAGAAGAAAAAAUAGGCAAGCCAGGUAUUGUAGCUCCGGAGUCGAGAAUGUAUGUGUUCCCUGAGACAUAACGGGAAGAGUCAUGAAUGAGAUAGCGAACCAGCGAGGUAAGUCCCGGAUCCACGGUCUGUUGCACCUUUAACGGGAUAGUCCUCUCGGUCACGUUCUUAAGCCACUCUUUUUGCAUAAGACCUUGCGUGAUCUCUGACUUGAGAAGCCCUGGUGCGAUCGAGUUCACUCUGAUGUUGUAUACACCUAACUCAAUAGCCAUCAUCCUCGUCAUGGUAUCAACACCACCUUUGGAACAAGCAUAGACGACUCCACCGGGUAACAAACCUCAGUGGAGACCGGCGAUGGAGGAGACGUUUAUUACUGAGCCGCCGCCUUUUGCGUCACGCAUUAGACUGCAGACGUAUUUGGAUACUAACCAAGGUCCGGUUAAGUUGGUUCUGAACACUGUGUUCCACUCAUCUUCAGUCAGAUCUAAACUCGUCUUGACAUUGCCUCUGAUUCCAGCGUUGUUGAUCAACACAUCUAUCUUUCCGUAGAUGUCCCAAGCUUGUUUGACAGCUUUUUGAAUGG
rnacentral:lncRNA from 1 species